rnacentral:lncRNA from 1 species
GCGAAGAGAUUUAAAUUUGCCAAGAGUGUAAAGAGACCUUACUAUCGAAGGAACCUUUGAAAAUCGAGUGAGUCAAAGAGACAUAUGAGUAUCUCAGUGGUUUGGAUCGUGAAGGUUUAAACCGACCCUAUGACUUUGCAUUUCAUCUAUGUAUGGAUGCAUUCAGGCUGAUCCAAUCACUAAUUUCCCAGAAGUACGAAGAAAAUUGUGUGAAACUUCAUGACCAACGAAAAGCCUUCACCACUCUUCGAGUGAAAUUGUGCGAGCAAUCUCUGGACGAUACGCUUUUCUCAUGCAAGACUGUCUCCUGCAAUUUAACUUUAAAGAAGGUUGUCAAGGCAUUUAUGAGAACCCUUGCAAAUAUCUUUUAAAUAAUUAUAGGUACCCAGACACUGAAUGAAAUGAAUAUGACCCACCAAAUUAUCGAAAACAUUCAGACAUACUUUGGUUUCUAAUUAUUAUGCUUCGUUUAAUCUCUUAUUAACGAACUUUUUCGUUAACGUUUAGGUGUGUCCAUGAAAUCUGCUGGCUGCUGAACGUGAGCUGAAUUAUGAAUUACUUUUGAGACGCCACGUUACCGACUGCUGAGACGCCAGGACCCGAGGACUUAACCUUCAGGACGCUUCAAAAUGGAGAUGAUACGUCUAUAAGUAAUCCAUCAGACAAAGUUCUGAAUUAAUGACAAUACCAGAUAAAGUUGCCGAAAAAUUUAUGGAUAAAAUAUCUCGCCGCCCAACAUUUACCUGCAUGUGCUGUGACUUCAAGCAUUUUAAGGAGGCAGUUUCCCACAUCAUUUCAGAGGGCUAUGACGGAGCUUUGAAAAAUGUGUAUCGGUUAUCAAAAGGCCUACCUUCACACACAGCAUCCGAAAAUGAAGAUAGAGGACUAGGGAAGAGGAAACGAGCCCAUCGUCCGUUAUUUCUCUGUCCGUUUAUGUUUUUCCUGAAAAUUAAAAGGUAAAAACCCCAAUUCAAGUAGUUAAUAAAUGAUGACCCCAAAAAACAAAAAUAGAUUUUUGUAAAAAAUUUCGGCCUAAUCCCAAAAAACUCUCUAAUUAUUAUUUUAAGAACAAAUUAUACCAAAAACAUACGAUAGCUCUGCCGUUUGAAUUCAUCAUUUAAAAGUAGGUGAUAUCAAAACGGCCCAAUUUCCC